rnacentral:rRNA from 1 species
GACGAACGCUGGCGGCGUGCUUAACACAUGCAAGUCGAACGGAAAGGCCCUGCUUGCAGGGUACUCGAGUGGCGAACGGGUGAGUAACACGUGGGUGAUCUGCCCUGCACUUCGGGAUAAGCCUGGGAAACUGGGUCUAAUACCGGAUAGGAGCCAUUUUUAGUUUGAUGGUUGGAAAGUUUUUUCGGUGUAGGAUGAGCUCGCGGCCUAUCAGCUUGUUGGUGGGGUAAUGGCCUACCAAGGCGGCGACGGGUAGCCGGCCUGGGAGGGUGGACGGCCACAGUGGGACUGAGACACGGACCAGACUCCGACGGGAGGCAGCAGUGGGGAAUAUUGCACAAUGGGCGCAAGCCUGAUGCAGCGACGCCGCGGGGGGGAUGACGGCCUUCGGGUUGUAAACGCCUUUCGCUAGGGACGAAGCUUUUUGUGACGGUACCUAGAUAAGAAGCACCGGCUAACUACGUG